AAUCCAUGAUGAGGGCAAUAUCUUUAUAGACUCUUGAAUCUAUCCCACGCUUUAAAUAGUGAUUCUUCAUCUGCCUGAGCAAAAUUUGUAAUACAAUUCCUCAUAUA